GCCGGUUUAGCUUAGUGGUAGAGCGUCAGUCUUGUAAACUGAAGGUUGGCGGUUCAAUCCCGCCAUUCGGCU
rnacentral:tRNA from 1 species